GGCUGGUCUGAUGGUAGUGGGGUAUCAGAACUUAUUAACAUUAGUGUCACUAAAGUUGGUAUAUAACCUCUCACUGCUAAAUUUGACUGGUUAGGA
rnacentral:Y_RNA from 1 species